rnacentral:rRNA from 1 species
ACAUCAGUCGCCGCGGUAAUACAGAGGGUGCGAGCGUUAAUCGGAUUUACUGGGCGUAAAGCGUGCGUAGGCGGCUUUUUAAGUCGGAUGUGAAAUCCCUGAGCUUAACUUAGGAAUUGCAUUCGAUACUGGGAAGCUAGAGUAUGGGAGAGGAUGGUAGAAUUCCAGGUGUAGCGGUGAAAUGCGUAGAGAUCUGGAGGAAUACCGAUGGCGAAGGCAGCCAUCUGGCCUAAUACUGACGCUGAGGUACGAAAGCAUGGGGAGCAAACAGGAUUAGAUACCCCUGUAGUCCCUGUCUCUUAUAA